rnacentral:rRNA from 1 species
AGACCCGAAACCCGGUGAUCUAGCCAUGGGCAGGUUGAAGGUUGGGUAACACUAACUGGAGGACCGAACCGACUAAUGUUGAAAAAUUAGCGGAUGACCUGUGGCUGGGGGUGAAAGGCCAAUCAAACCGGGAGAUAGCUGGUUCUCCCCGAAAGCUAUUUAGGUAGCGCCUCGUGAAUUCAUCUCCGGGGGUAGAGCACUGUUUCGGCUAGGGGGCCAUCCCGGCUUACCAACCCGAUGCAAACUGCGAAUACCGGAGAAUGUUAUCACGGGAGACACACGGCGGGUGCUAACGUCCGUCGUGAAGAGGGAAACAACCCAGACCGCCAGCUAAGGUCCCAAAGUCAUGGUUAAGUGGGAAACGAUGUGGGAAGGCCCAGACAGCCAGGAUGUUGGCUUAGAAGCAGCCAUCAUUUAAAGAAAGCGUAAUAGCUCACUGGUCGAGUCGGCCUGCGCGGAAGAUGUAACGGGGCUAAACCAUGCACCGAAGCUGCGGCAGCGACACUUAAGUGUUGUUGGGUAGGGGAGCGUUCUGUAAGCCGUUGAAGGUGUGCUGUGAGGCAUGCUGGAGGUAUCAGAAGUGCGAAUGCUGACAUAAGUAACGAUAAAGCGGGUGAAAAGCCCGCUCGCCGGAAGACCAAGGGUUCCUGUCCAACGUUAAUCGGGGCAGGGUGAGUCGACCCCUAAGGCGAGGCCGAAAGGCGUAGUCGAUGGGAAACGGGUUAAUAUUCCCGUACUUGGUGUUACUGCGAAGGGGGGACGGAGAAGGCUAUGUUGGCCGGGCGACGGUUGUCCCGGUUUAAGCGUGUAGGCUGGUUUUCCAGGCAAAUCCGGAAAAUCAAGGCUGAGGCGUGACGACGAGGCACCACGGUGCUGAAGCAACAAAUGCCCUGCUUCCAGGAAAAGCCUCUAAGCUCCAGGUAACACGAAAUCGUACCCCAAACCGACACAGGUGGUCAGGUAGAGAAUACCAAGGCGCUUGAGAGAACUCGGGUGAAGGAACUAGGCAAAAUGGUGCCGUAACUUCGGGAGAAGGCACGCUGACACGUAGGUGAAGUGAUUUACUCAUGGAGCUGAAGUCAGUCGAAGAUACCAGCUGGCUGCAACUGUUUAUUAAAAACACAGCACUGUGCAAACACGAAAGUGGACGUAUACGGUGUGACGCCUGCCCGGUGCCGGAAGGUUAAUUGAUGGGGUUAUCCGUAAGGAGAAGCUCCUGAUCGAAGCCCCGGUAAACGGCGGCCGUAACUAUAACGGUCCUAAGGUAGCGAAAUUCCUUGUCGGGUAAGUUCCGACCUGCACGAAUGGCGUAAUGAUGGCCAGGCUGUCUCCACCCGAGACUCAGUGAAAUUGAACUCGCUGUGAAGAUGCAGUGUACCCGCGGCAAGACGGAAAGACCCCGUGAACCUUUACUAUAGCUUGACACUGAACAUUGAGCCUUGAUGUGUAG